GGGGUGGGGGUAGCGGUCGAGUAUCAAGUUGCUUUCUGUCCCGGCAGAGGAAGCCAGAUCGCUGAGGGUCCAGUCUCCAGCUUGCCUCCUGCUAUAUCCAUAGGAAGAGAAAAGUUUGUGACUUGGGCCCCCAAGUUUUGAGAGAACUGGGCUUUCGGCGCGGGGGGACAGAGGAGGCUCGUGGGGAGCUUUCCCCAUGGAGCUUACCCAGCCUGCAGAAGACCUCAUCCUGACCCAGCAGACCCCUGCCUCAGAACUUGGGGACCCUGAAGACCCUGGAGAGGAGGCUGCAGAUGGCUCAGACACUGUGGUCCUCAGUCUCUUUCCCUGCACCCCUGAGCCUGUGAAUCCUGAACCGGAUGCCAGUGUUUCCUCUCCACAGGGCAGCUCCCUGAAGCACUCCACCACUCUCACCAACCGGCAGCGAGGGAACGAGGUGUCAGCUCUGCCGGCCACCCUAGACUCCCUGUCCAUCCACCAGCUCGCAGCACAGGGGGAGCUGGACCAGCUGAAGGAGCAUUUGCGGAAAGGUGACAACCUCGUCAACAAGCCAGACGAGCGCGGCUUCACCCCCCUCAUCUGGGCCUCGGCCUUUGGAGAGAUUGAGACCGUUCGCUUCCUGCUGGAGUGGGGUGCCGACCCCCACAUCCUGGCAAAAGAGCGAGAGAGCGCCCUGUCGCUGGCCAGCACAGGCGGCUACACAGACAUUGUGGGGCUGCUGCUGGAGCGUGACGUGGACAUCAACAUCUAUGAUUGGAAUGGAGGGACGCCACUGCUGUACGCUGUGCGCGGGAACCACGUGAAAUGCGUUGAGGCCUUGCUGGGUGAGUGGGAGUCGGGAGUGGCCCUGGGGGCCCCAGCACUCCAGCGGGCCCUGCGGGAAUCCUGAGGGCAGGGAGACGCCCAAGCGUUGCUUGAAGAGUUCUUGGAGCAGGUAGUCCCUGCCUGCUCUUCUCGGAGGGUGGAUCAGAGGGGAGGAGGUGGUAGAACCACACGGGAGUC
rnacentral:sRNA from 1 species